UGUAUGCCCCCUCUUCGAGUCAUUGCUCAGCCAGCCUCUUGGCCGACAAGUUCACCAAUGAAAAAUUAGUCUAAUUUAAUUAAUUUGAAAAAUAAAGAUGGAAAUAUUGUUGAGCGCGUUGAUUGUUGUGUUGGCGGCCAGUUUUUACGGAGUGUCAGGAUUUCCCUGGAAGUUGAUUCACAGGUCCAUUGACGAAAAUUUUGGAAUUACAUUGAAUCAAAUGGCGGAACCCCUUAUGGAGAACGAAUUAAAGGUUUUUCAAGCUGAAUUCCAUAAAUUGGCCUCAAAUCAAAAUGACGAGCCGACGAUUGCACGUCAAAUUCUCGAGUGCGUUCCUCUCAUUGACGGGCAUAAUGAUUUACCGCACGUUAUUCGACUCCUGGCCGAGAGUCAACUGCUAGCUUCAAUUUGACAGAUCAUGCAGAUAAGAAUCCUUGAAAAUCUGAUCCUUCGUCGCAUACUGACAUUCUCCGUCUCCGCCAAGAGAAGCUGGGCGCUCAGUUUUGGGUGGCGUAUACGAAUUGCAAUACUCAGCACAAUGAUUCGCCGCAAAAUACGAUCGAACAAAUUGAUCUCAUCUAUCGCUUGAUUGACUUGUAUUCAGACACUUUUCAACUAGCCACCACAGCUCAAGAAAUUGAGGACAUCUUUGCAUCGGGUAAAAUUUCCAGUCUGAUCGGAGUUGAAGGUGGUCACUCCAUUGGAAAUUCCCCCGGUGUUUUGCGCACUUUCUAUCGACUCGGAGUUCGUUACAUGACUCUCACCCAUUCGUGUCCGACUCCAUGGGCUGACAAUUCACAGCUGGAUAACCCGGGUCAGGAACCUAUUCACGACGGACUUACCGGUUUUGGAGAAGCAACAGUCCAAGAGAUGAAUCGCUUGGGCAUGAUGGUGGACAUUUCUCAUGUGUCGGUUUCGACAAUUGAAGACGUAUUGAACGUGUCGAAAGCGACCGUGAUUUUCAGUCACUUGGGGGCAUUUUCCGUUUGCAACAAUACUCGAAACGUGCCCGAUCAUAUCCUUCGUCGAUUGGCGAAAAAUGACGGAAUUAUCAUGGUGGUAUUUUAAAACGAAUUCAUCGCCUGCGGUCAGUCGGCAAGCCUCAACGAUGUGGUGCGCCACAUCGAACACAUUCGUAAUGUUAUCGGGGAAGAUUACAUUGGACUCGGUGGUGACUUUAACGGAGUUGAUAGGGUUCCCACUGACUUGGAUGAUGUUUCAAAGUAUCCCAACCUCUUCGCGGAAUUGUUACGUCGCGGUUGGAGCAAAACUGAUUUAGAAAAAUUGGCUGGUAGAAAAAAAACUGCGCGUGAUGCGUCGUGUUGAGCAGGUACAGUAAUUUGUUAUUUAUAUCACGCCUACGUUUCAAAUUAAUUGUUAUCAAAUAUCUGAUAAGGUUAAAAUGGAACUCUCAUCUAUGGAGCCGAUUGAAGAAUGGAUUCCGGCAGAAGACCUCCGACCUGAGCACAAGCAAUGUCUCACCGAUUACAAUUAAUUUCUCAUCGUUAGAUUUUUUCACGGUUGAUUCAUCGGCAGCUUCUCGAUUGCAUGCCCACUCUCUUUGUAAAACAUCCCAACCAUAUGGAAGCUUGAAGUCAAUCGUAGGUGUCCUAACACGCCAAUUGUUCUCGUUGGGAACAAAAAAGAUCUGAGAAGCGACGUCGUUACUAUUACAGAAUUAGAAGAGAAGG